UGCUAUGAUAAAACAUUAGGUAAAGCCGCUCAUUACCAUGUGGGCAGAGCUGGUUGGUAGCUCUAGAGGAAAUGGUUUUAAAAAUUUAGAAUGUCAGAGUGUUGUUGACUGCUUCUUGCUGCUGUCAGCAAAGUCCCGUAAAAGCAAAAGGUUGGACACAGAGCACAGCCAGACAGCACGCAAGCAGAAACAGAGGGAGCAGACUUGCUGAGUGAAAGAAGCCAGGUGCAGAAGGCCACACAGUGAUGUGAGCUGCCACGUUGGAGUGGCCCGUGGGGCCAACAGCCUGUAAGGAACCGAAUCCUACCAUAGCCUUGUGAAUAAGCCUGGAAGCAGAUCCUCCCCACACAGAGCUUUCAGAUGAGACCACAGCCCCAGCUGACAUCUUGACUUCAGCUUUGUAAGAGACCCUGAGACAGAAAACUGAGACACAGUAAAUGUUUCAAACUGCUGAGAAUUUUGGUAAUUUGUUACAUAGCAAAAGAUAACAACCAUAUGUUGCUGACUCCUUAACAGAAAACAAUGUACUGUUGAUUUCUUGCAAUGCUGACCCCUGCAUAUAACCACAAGGAAGAACUACUGUUUUUCUCACCAAUUAAAAUACUGAACAAAAUAACCAAA